rnacentral:rRNA from 1 species
UACGUAGGGUGCGAGCGUUGUCCGGAAUUAUUGGGCGUAAAGAGCUUGUAGGCGGUUUGUCGCGUCUGCCGUGAAAUUUCGAGGCUCAACCUCGAACUUGCGGUGGGUACGGGCAGACUAGAGUAUGGCAGGGGAGACUGGAAUUCCUGGUGUAGCGGUGAAAUGCGCAGAUAUCAGGAGGAACACCGGUGGCGAAGGCGGGUCUCUGGGCCAAAACUGACGCUGAGGAGCGAAAGCGUGGGGAGCGAACAGG